GACGAACGCUGGCGGCGCGCCUAACACAUGCAAGUCGAACGGAGAUAAGGAGGAGCUUGCUCCACCUUAUCUGAGUGGCGGACGGGUGAGUAACGCGUGAGCAACCUGCCUUAAAGAGGGGGAUAACGUCUGGAAACGGACGCUAAUACCGCAUAACAUAUUGUUUCGCAUGGAGAUGAUAUCAAAGGAGCAAUCCGCUUUAAGAUGGACUCGCGUCCAAUUAGCUAGUUGGUGAGGUAACGGCCCACCAAGGCGACGAUGCAUAGCCGAGUUGAGAGACUGAUCGGCCACACUGGGACUGAGACACGGCCCAA
rnacentral:rRNA from 1 species